rnacentral:rRNA from 1 species
CCUACGGGGGGCAGCAGUGGGGAAUAUUGGACAAUGGGGGGAACCCUGAUCCAGCCAUGCCGCGUGUGUGAAGCAGGCCCUCGGGUUGUAAAGCACUUUCAGUGAGGAAGAACGCCUGGUGGUUAAUACCCAUCAGGAAAGACAUCACUCACAGAAGAAGCACCGGCUAACUCCGUGCCAGCAGCCGCGGUAAUACGGAGGGUGCGAGCGUUAAUCGGAAUUACUGGGCGUAAAGCGCGCGUAGGUGGCUUGAUAAGCCGGUUGUGAAAGCCCCGGGCUCAACCUGGGAACGGCAUCCGGAACUGUCAAGCUAGAGUGCAGGAGAGGAAGGUAGAAUUCCCGGUGUAGCGGUGAAAUGCGUAGAGAUCGGGAGGAAUACCAGUGGCGAAGGCGGCCUUCUGGACUGACACUGACACUGAGGUGCGAAAGCGUGGGUAGCAAACAGGAUUAGAUACCCUGGUAGUC